rnacentral:rRNA from 1 species
CGCCUGUUUAUCAAAAACAUGUCUAUAUGGAUAUUUAUAUAGUCUAACCUGCUCGCUGACUAAUAGUUUAAAGGCCGCGGUAUUUUGACCGUGCAAAGGUAGCAUAAUCAUUAGUUCUUUAAUUGGGAACUUGUAUGAAAGGUUGAACAAGGGAAAAACUGUAUCUAUUGUAAAUCUUAAAUUUAACUUUUAAGUGAAAAGGCUUAAAUAAUUUAGAGGGACGAUAAGACCCUAUAAAGCUUUAUAAGUAAGAAAAAUUUUGCUGAAAUAAGAAAUUUAAAAUUAUAUUUUUUCUGUCUUAUUAUGUUGGGGCGACAUAAAUAUAAAUUAUUUAACUGUUUAAAAAUAAAACAUAGAUUGAUGUAUUGAAAAUAAUUGAUCCUUUUUAAAGAUUUAAGUAUAAGUUACUUUAGGGAUAACAGCGUUAUUUCUUUUGAGAGUUCCUAUCGAAAAAGAAGUUUGCGACCUCGAUGUUGAAUUAAACUAUCUUAGUGGUGUAGCAGCUAGUAGAGAAAGUCUGUUCGACUUUUAAAUGUUUACAUGAUCUGAGUUCAAACC